rnacentral:rRNA from 1 species
AGCCCGGGGCUCAACCCCGGAACUGCAUUCGAAACUGCGGGACUAGAGCACAGGAUGGGAGAGCGGAAUUCUUGGUGUAGCGGUGAAAUGCGUUGAGAUCAAGAAGAACACCGGCGGCGAAGGCGGCUCUCUGGAAUGUUACUGACACUCAUGCACGAAAGCUGGGGUAGCAAACAGGAUUAGAUACCCUGGUAGUCCCAGCUGUAAACUGUGUGCACUUGGCGUUGGCGGUAUUGACCCCGCCAGUGCCGGAGUUAACGCGUUAAGUGCACCGCCUGAGGAGUACGAUCGCAAGGCUAAAACUCAAAGAAAUUGACGGGGGCCCGCACAAGCGGAGGAGCAUGUGGCUUAAUUCGAUGCAACGCGAAGAACCUUACCUGGGUUUGACAUCGGAGAGGCUUGCCUCUAGCGCGUGAAAGCGCGUUAACCAGACAGGUGCUGCAUGGCUGUCGUCAGUUCGUGCCGUGAGGUGUUGGGUUAAGUCCCGCAACGAACGCAACCCUUAUGUUUAGUU